AUUCACGGCCACAGGAUUAAGAAAACACCGCAUCCCGUCCGAUCUGCGAAGUCAAGAUGAAUACCGCCCAGUCAGUACCAUGGUGGGGGACCACAUGGGAAUGCUGGGUGCUGUGGUU
rnacentral:rRNA from 1 species